rnacentral:rRNA from 1 species
GACGAACGCUGGCGGCGUGCUUAACACAUGCAAGUCGAACGGUAAGGCCCUUCGGGGUACACGAGUGGCGAACGGGUGAGUAACACGUGGGUGAUCUGCCCUGCACUUCGGGAUAAGCCUGGGAAACUGGGUCUAAUACCGGAUAGGACUCCUGGCUUCAUGGUUGGGGGUGGAAAGCUUUUGCGGUGUGGGCUGGGCCCGCGGCCGAUCAGCUGGUUGGUGGGGUAAUGGCCUACCAGGGCGACGACGGGUAGCCGGCCUGAGAGGGUGACCGGUCACACUGGGACUGAGAUACGGCCCAGACUCCUACGGGAGGCAGCAGUGGGGAAUAUUGCACAAUGGGCGCAAGCCUGAUGCAGCGACGCCGCGUGAGGGAUGACGGCCUUCGGGUUGUAAACCUCUUUCAGCUAUGACGAAGCGCAAGUGACGGUAGUAGCAGAAGAAGGACCGGCCAACUACGUGCCAGCAGCCGCGGUAAUAC